rnacentral:misc_RNA from 1 species
CGCCGCGGUAAUUCCAGCUCCAAUAGCGUAUAUUAAAGUUGUUGCAGUUAAAAAGCUCGUAGUUGAAUUUCGGGGUUAGUAGGUUGGUCAUGCCUCUGGUAUGUACUGGUCUCACUGAUUCCUCCUUCCUGAUGAACCUUAAUGCCAUUAAUUUGGUGUUUUGGGGAAUUUGGACUGUUACUUUGAAAAAAUUAGAGUGUUUAAAGCAAGCUAACGCUUGAAUACAUUAGCAUGGAAUAAUGAAAUAGGACGUCCGAUCCUAUUUUGUUGGUUUCUAGGAUUGACGUAAUGAUUAAUAGGGAUAGUUGGGGGCAUUAGUAUUCAAUUGUCAGAGGUGAAAUUCUUGGAUUUAUUGAAGACUAACUACUGCGAAAGCAUUUGCCAAGGAUGUUUUCAUUAAUCAAGAACGAAAGUUAGGGGAUCGAAGACGAUCAGAUACCGUCGUAGUCUUAACCAUAAACUAUGCCGACUAGGGAUCGGAUGAUGUUAAUUUUUUAAUGACUCAUUCGGCGCCUUACG